rnacentral:rRNA from 1 species
ACUCCUACGGGAGGCAGCAGUGGGGAAUCUUGGACAAUGGGCGCAAGCCUGAUCCAGCCAUGCCGCGUGAGUGAUGAAGGCCCUAGGGUCGUAAAGCUCUUUCGCCAGGGAUGAUAAUGACAGUACCUGGUAAAGAAACCCCGGCUAACUCCGUGCCAGCAGCCGCGGUAAUACGGAGGGGGUUAGCGUUGUUCGGAAUUACUGGGGCGUAAAGCGCGCGUAGGCGGACUGGAAAGUUGGGGGUGAAAUCCCCGGGGGCUCAACCUCGGAACUGCCUCCAAAACUCCCAGUCUUGAGUUCGAGAGAGGUGAGUGGAAUUCCGAGUGUAGAGGUGAAAUUCGUAGAGUAUUCGGAGGAACACCAGUGGCGAAGGCGGCUCACUGGCUCGAUACUGACGCUGAGGUGCGAAAGUGUGGGA